GAUGAGCGCUGGCGGCGUGCCUAAUACAUGCAGGUCGAGCGAACGGACGAGAAGCUUGCUUCUCUGAUGUUAGCGGCGGACGGGUGAGUAACACGUGGAUAACCUACCUAUAAGACUGGGAUAACUUCGGGAAACCGGAGCUAAUACCGGAUAAUAUUUUGAACCGCAUGGUUCAAAAGUGAAAGACGGUCUUGCUGUCACUUAUAGAUGGAUCCGCGCUGCAUUAGCUAGUUGGUAAGGUAGCGGCUUACCAAGGCAACGAUGCAUAGCCGACCUGAGAGGGUGAUCGGCCACACUGGAACUGAGACACGGUCCAGACUCCUACGGGAGGCAGCAGUAGGGAAUCUUCCGCAAUGGGCGAAAGCCUGACGGAGCAACGCCGCGUGAGUGAUGAAGGUCUUCGGAUCGUAAAACUCUGUUAUUAGGGAAGAACAUAUGUGUAAGUAACUGUGCACAUCUUGACGGUACCUAAUCAGAAAGCCACGGCUAACUACGUG
rnacentral:rRNA from 1 species